AUUGAACGCUGGCGGAAUGCUUUACACAUGCAAGUCGGACGGCAGCACGGGGCAACCUGGUGGCGAGUGGCGAACGGGUGAGUAAUACAUCGGAACGUGCCCAAUCAUGGGGGAUAACGUAGCGAAAGUUACGCUAAUACCGCAUACGAUCUACGGAUGAAAGCGGGGGAUCGCAAGACCUCGCGCGAACGGAGCGGCCGAUGUCAGAUUAGGUAGUUGGUGGGGUAAAGGCUCACCAAGCCGACGAUCUGUAGCUGGUCUGAGAGGACGACCAGCCACACUGGGACUGAGACACGGCCCAGACUCCUACGGGAGGCAGCAGUGGGGAAUUUUGGACAAUGGGCGCAAGCCUGAUCCAGCCAUUCCGCGUGCAGGAUGAAGGCCUUCGGGUUGUAAACUGCUUUUGUACGGAACGAAACGGUGAGCUCUAAUACAGUUUGCUAAUGACGGUACCGUAAGAAUAAGCACCGGCUAACUACGUGCCAGCAGCCGCAGUAAUAC
rnacentral:rRNA from 1 species